rnacentral:rRNA from 1 species
UACGUAGGGGGCAAGCGUUGUCCGGAGUACUGGGCGUAAAGCGCACGCAGGCGGUCUCUUAAGUUUGGAGUGACAGUUGGUGGCUUAACUGCCAAAGUGCUUCGAAAACUGACAGACUUGAGGGCUUCAGAGGGACACGGAAUUCCACGUGUAGCGGUGAAAUGCGUAGAGAUGUGGAGGAACACCAGUGGCGAAGGCGACUCUUUGGUCUGUAACUGACGCUGAGGCGCGAAAAGCGUGGGGAGCAAACAGG